rnacentral:lncRNA from 1 species
CAUAGACCCGGGAGCAGAGAACGGUACCAGCACAUGGCAGCUUGCAUUCCUAUACUCAUUCAUUCAAUCGGUGAAUAUUUACUGGGCCCAAAAGAGAAAUGAAGAUGGGUGAGGACCAGUCCCUUCCUUCACGGAGCUCUCGGCCCAGAGAGGGAAGGAGAAGAGGCAGAAUCAGCUAUCCCUAUGCAGUCCGCCAGCUGCGGAGACAGAACUGGUCAGAAUGCC